rnacentral:rRNA from 1 species
GAUCCGAGCGUUAUCCGGAUUUAUUGGGUUUAAAGGGAGCGUAGAUGGAUGUUUAAGUCAGUUGUGAAAGUUUGCGGCUCAACCGUAAAAUUGCAGUUGAUACUGGAUAUCUUGAGUGCAGUUGAGGCAGGCGGAAUUCGUGGUGUAGCGGUGAAAUGCUUAGAUAUCACGAAGAACUCCGAUUGCGAAGGCAGCCUGCUAAGCUGCAACUGACAUUGAGGCUCGAAAGUGUGGGUAUCAAACAGGAUUAGAUACCCUGGUAGUCCACACGGUAAACGAUGAAUACUCGCUGUUUGCGAUAUACAGCAAGCGGCCAAGCGAAAGCGUUAAGUAUUCCACCUGGGGAGUACGCCGGCAACGGUGAAACUCAAAGGAAUUGACGGGGGCCCGCACAAGCGGAGGAACAUGUGGUUUAAUUCGAUGAUACGCGAGGAACCUUACCCGGGCUUAAAUUGCAGAUGAAUUACGGUGAAAGCCGUAAGCCGCAAGGCAUCUGUGAAGGUGCUGCAUGGUUGUCGUCAGCUCGUGCCGUGAGGUGUCGGCUUAAGUGCCAUAACGAGCGCAACCCUUGUUGUCAGUUACUAACAGGUUCCGCUGAGGACUCUGACAAGACUGCCAUCGUAAGAUGUGAGGAGGGUGGGGAUGACGUCAAAUCAGCACGGCCCUUACGUCCGGGGCUACACACGUGUUACAAUGGGGGGUACAGAGGGCCGCUACCACGCGAGUGGAUGCCAAUCCCAAAAACCUCUCUCAGUUCGGACUGGAGUCUGCAACCCGACUCCACGAAGCUGGAUUCGCUAGUAAUCGCGCAUCAGCCACGGCGCGGUGAAUACGUUCCCGGGCCUUGUACACACCGCCCGU